rnacentral:rRNA from 1 species
AUUGAACGCUGGCGGCAGGCCUAACACAUGCAAGUCGAACGAGUGGCGGACGGGUGAGUAAUGUCUGGGAAACUGCCUGAUGGAGGGGGAGAACUACUGGAAACGGUAGCUAAUACCGCAUACCCUCAGAUGUGCCCAGAUGGGAUUAGCUAGUAGGUGGGGUAAUGGCUCACCUAGGCGACGAUCCCUAUCUGGUCUGAGAGGAUAACCCGCCAAACUGGGACUGGGGCAAGGUCCAGACUCCUACGGGAGGCAGCAGUGGGGAAUAUUGCGCAAUGGGCGCAAGCCUGAAGCAGCCAUGACGCGAGUGUGAAGAAGGCCUUCGGGUUGUAAAGCAAUUUCCGCGGGGAGGCGUUACUCGCAGAAGAAGAACCGGCUAACUCCGUGGCAGCAGCCGCGGUAAUUC